GAUGAACGCUAGCUACAGGCUUAACACAUGCAAGUCGAGGGGCAGCACAGUGUAGCAAUACACGGGUGGCGACCGGCGCACGGGUGCGUAACGCGUAUCCAACCUUCCCGAUACUCUUGGAUAGCCUUCCGAAAGGGGAGAUUAAUACAAGAUGGUAUUCAAAUUCCGCAUGUUAUUUGAAUUAAAGAUUUAUCGGUGACGGAUGAGGAUGCGUACGAUUAGCUUGUUGGCGGGGUAACGGCCCACCAAGGCGACGAUCGUUAGGGGUUCUGAGAGGAAGGUCCCCCACACUGGUACUGAGACACGGACCAGACUCCUACGGGAGGCAGCAGUGAGGAAUAUUGGUCAAUGGGCGGAGCCUGAACCAGCCAAGUAGCGUGAAGGAAGACUGCCCUAUGGGGUUGUAAACUUCUUUUGUUCGGGAGCAAUAAGUCUCACGUGUGGGAUGAUGAGAGUACCUUACGAAUAAGCAUCGGCUAACUCCGUG
rnacentral:rRNA from 1 species